UUACCAUUUUCUUUACUGAAAACCCUAAAUUUUCACUCUCCAUUGAAAACCCUAACUUUUGGAAGACAAGAAAGAAGGGAGAGAGCCACCGUUUUUAGAGAGAAAGAAGAGAAGAGAGAAAAACACAGGUUUUUCUCAUCAUGCCCAGAUUUCAUCAAAGGUCCGAUCCCACUUCGUCCGUGGUCCGAUCGAGCUAAAAUUUGGAGGAGAGUUUCAUGACUCAUUUAUCUUCAAUAUGAACGGUGAAGAUCGGAUUUGGAGUUUCGGAAAGUCAUUAGAAAGAAAGAGGAGAAGAGAGAAAAACGCAGGUUUUUCUCAUCAUGCUCAGAUUUCAUCAAAUGUCUGAUCCCGCUUCGUCCGUGGUCCAAUCGAGUUGAAAUUUGGAGGAAAGGUUCGUGGCUCAUGUAUCUUCAAUAUGAACGAUGGAGAUCGGAUUUGGAGUUUUGAACAGUCAUUACAGAGAAAGAGGAGAAGAGAGAAAAACGCAAAUUUUUUUCAUCAUGCCCUAAUUUUAUCAAAGGUCUGAUGCAGCUUUGUCCAUGGUCUGAUCGAGCUGAAAUUUGAAGGAGAGGUUCACAGCUCAUUAAUCUUCAAUUUGAACGGUGAAGAUCGGAUUUAGAGUUUUGGAAAGUCAUCUUUCUUGUUUUGGUGGGCUUUUCUCUCCGGACUGUUUUGAUCAUUAGCUUUGAUCGAGGUCAAUUCGUAGUCCGAUUGAGUUGCAAUUUUGGGAGCACAUUCAGGACACAUUGAUCUUCAUUCUAACAGUGGAGAUUGGAUUUGGAGUUUGGAAAAAUGGUUUCAAAGGAAAUUGGUUGGCCAAAAGACAAGAAAUCAUAAUGUUGAAGGAGGUAGUGAUGCCGAAAACCAUGAAGAUUACAUCAAAGUCAUUUGGAGGAUGAUCUUAUUUUUUUUAUAGAAUAUAGUUCUUAAUAGUUGUUGCACUAAUAUUUGUUCUUUUGUAGAAUUAGAAAUUGUUAUUGAAAUAUUUUGAUAUAAUUAACAAAUUUGUAUGUAAUUAUUGUAUGUAAGUAUGAAGUUACAUUAAUGGUUU